rnacentral:rRNA from 1 species
UACAGAGGGUGCGAGCGUUAAUCGGAAUUACUGGGCGUAAAGCGUGCGUAGACGGCUAUCUAAGUCGGGUGUGAAAGCCCCGGGCUUAACCUGGGAAUGGCAUUUGAGACUGCAUAGCUAGGGUGCGGAAGAGGGAAGCGGAAUUUCCGGUGUAGCGGUGAAAUGCGUAGAUAUCGGAAGGAACACCAGUGGCGAAAGCGGCUCGCUGGGCCGUUGCUGACGCUGAGGCGCGAAAGCGUGGGGAGCAAACAGG